rnacentral:rRNA from 1 species
AUACGUAGGUGGCAAGCGUUGUCCGGAAUUAUUGGGCGUAAAGCGCGCGCAGGCGGUCCUUUAAGUCUGAUGUGAAAGCCCACGGCUCAACCGUGGAGGGUCAUUGGAAACUGGGGGACUUGAGUGCAGAAGAGGAAAGUGGAAUUCCAAGUGUAGCGGUGAACUGCGUAGAGAUUCGGAGGAACACCAGUGGCGAAGGCGACUUUCUGGUCUGUAACUGACGCUGAGGCGCGAAAGCGUGGGGAGCAAACAGGAUUAGAUACCCUGUUAGUCCACGCCGUAAACGAUGAGUGCUAAGUGUUAGGGGGUUUCCGCCCCUUAGUGCUGCAGCUAACGCAUUAAGCACUCCGCCUGGGGAGUACGGUCGCAAGACUGAAACUCAAAUGAAUUGACGGGG